UACGUAGGGUGCAAGCGUUAAUCGGAAUUACUGGGCGUAAAGCGUGCGCAGGCGGUUAUGUAAGACAGAUGUGAAAUGCCCGGGCUUAACCUGGGAACUGCAUUUGUGACUGCAUGGCUAGAGUUUGGCAGAGGGGGGUAGAAUUCCACGUGUAGCGGUGAAAUGCGUAGAUAUGUGGAGGAACACCGAUGGCGAAGGCAGCCCCCUGGGUCAAGACUGACGCUCAUGCACGAAAGCGUGGGGAGCAAACAGG
rnacentral:rRNA from 1 species